GGCCUUUUGUAUUUAAUUUAAGGUCUGACCUGCCCAGUGAUAAAUUUAACGGCCGCGGUAUCUUGACCGUGCAAAGGUAGCAUAAUCAUUAGUCUUUUAAUAGAGGGCUGGAAUGAACGGUUUAACGAGGGACUAGCUGUCUCAUUUUAUUUGUUUUAAAAUUUAAUUUUUUAGUUAAAAAGCUAAAAUUUUAUUGGUAGACGAGAAGACCCUAUAGAUCUUCAUAUAAUUUUUUGUAUUUAUUUUUAUAUUAACAUAAUUAUAUUAAAAUUUUAUUUUGUUGGGGUGACAAAAAUAUAUAUAUAACUUUUUUAUUUACUUACCAUUGAUAUAUGAGUAUUAGAUCCAUUAUUAUUGAUUGAUAGAAUAAGUUACCUUAGGGAUAACAGCGUAAUCCUCCUCCAGAGUUCAUAUUUACAGGAGGGCUUGCGACCUCGAUGUUGGAUUAAGAUAAUAAUUAGGUGUAGCCGCUUAAUUUAUAGGUCUGUUCGACCUUUAAAUUCUU
rnacentral:rRNA from 1 species